UGGGGAAUAUUGCACAAUGGGCGUAAGCCUGAUGCAGCCAUGCCGCGUGUAUGAAGAAGGCCUUCGGGUUGUAAAGUACUUUCAGCGGGGAGGAAGGCGAUAAGGUUAAUAACCUUGUCGAUUGACGUUACCCGCAGAAGAAGCACCGGCUAACUCCGUGCCAGCAGCCGCGGUAAUACGGAGGGUGCAAGCGUUAAUCGGAAUUACUGGGCGUAAAGCGCACGCAGGCGGUCUGUCAAGUCGGAUGUGAAAUCCCCGGGCUCAACCUGGGAACUGCAUUCGAAACUGGCAGGCUAGAGUCUUGUAGAGGGGGGUAGAAUUCCAGGUGUAGCGGUGAAAUGCGUAGAGAUCUGGAGGAAUACCGGUGGCGAAGGCGGCCCCCUGGACAAAGACUGACGCUCAGGUGCGAAAGCGUGGGGAGCAAACA
rnacentral:rRNA from 1 species